GGCCGUGCGCGGUGGAUGGAUGGACUCAAAUUGAUGACCGGGUAGUCACGAACAUUUAUAUAUAGAGAGAGGAAAAGAGGAGGCGGACGAAGGUAAAGAGAGAGAGAGAGAGAGAGAUACAUACACAGAUCGAGUAUGGCGUCGUCGGGCCGGUGCAUGGUGGUGGUGGCGCUGUGCUUGCUCGUCUUGGGGGAUGUAUCCGUCGCCGCAGCGAGCGCAAUCAACUGCAAUCUUGGAACCGAUAGGUGCUAUGAGGCUUGUCGUGCCAAGGGCCACUGGGAAGUCACAUGUUUCGCCUGCAACUACUUUUGCCCUGCCGUCAGCACGGGCUUCAUCGGCGGCGGCGGAAGUCGCUCUGGCACCAGGGCGCCUUCUCCGACGGCGGACAACAAUUGAUCAGCCUCAAAAUGGCCAUAGAGGCGUGCACGUUGACGAACAGAGGCCCUGUAAUGCACGCUGCGUUUUCAGUCGAUCCUCCUUCCUUCCCUCUCUCUCUCUCUCUCUCUCUCUCUCGCUCUCGCUCUCUCCAUCGUUGUUGAUCACGUAAUGUGCGAGUGUGCACGCCUUUGAUCCUAUGUAAUAAAUAUCAAGAUUUGAUGA